UGUAGUCAUUGGCUUCAACGGAGAAGAAGGAUUUGGAGAUAUCAAGAUUGGAGUAAGCAACAGGAUAGAAGUAGAGACGAACAAAUUUUGAGCCAAGUGAGACNNNNNNNNNNNNNNNNNNNNNNNNNNNNNNNNNNNNNNNNNNNNNNNNNNNNNNNNNNNNNNNNNNNNNNNNNNNNNNNNNNNNNNNNNNNNNNNNNNNNNNNNNNNNNNNNNNNNNNNNNNNNNNNNNNNNNNNNNNNNNNNNNNNNNNNNNNNNNNNNNNNNNNNNNNNNNNNNNNNNNNNNNNNNNNNNNNNNNNNNNNNNNNUAUAUGGCGGCAAGCUGUGAACGGCUGUUAUGCAAGGGAGAAGGAUUUUUAAGAGAGAUGCAAGAGAAAUUAAUUUUGUCAAGAUAAGAGAGAUAGAGAACAAAGAAAAAAGUGAGGCAAUUAUGAAGCCCAUGGAUAGUGUGAAAUUUAAGCAAAUCUCUUUGUGUAUAUCUUUAUAUUUAAAUGCUUUUAAAUUCAAUCUUUUUAUCUCUCUUUAACUAAUCCUUUAUAUAUUUAUUUGAAAGGGAUUUGCAAACCCGAGCAUGGCUCAAAGGUGCAAGUUUAUGAGCUUUUUUUAGUUAUUUUCCUAUAUUGAUAUUAAAAGUUAAAAGGGUAGAGUUAAAUUGAGUAAAAGUUAAAAACCCCAUGAGUUGGAAACAUAUGCUUACUUUGACUUGGGCCAACUAAUACUAAAAGAUUAGUACUAACUAAUUAGCUAGCUAAUUUAGCCUUUGUGGAUUUGGUAUUUAGUCGAUGUGAGAUUCUUAACAGUUGAUCUAUUUUGUCAAUGAAUAAAUGACGCAUGGUUUUAUUUUUAUUUUUAUUUUCACAUUUUUGACAAUUCAUUCUGCUGUUGUUAGAGUGAUCUAUUUAAGAAUUGGAUGUUGUUAUAUAUUAUGCUCUUGAAAUUAGAUUAAAAAAAAAAAGCAAGAGCAAGUUAUAUUUGACAUAUGAUUUUCAAGUAAUUUUGCGUAGGUAUUAGUAACUAUGUUUGUUAAUGGCUUUGACACGCGGAUGAUGCAGGUAUCGAUCCAACUUGCAUGCUAUAUUCAUUUAGUUGCCUUUCAUUAUUACUAAACGAUGGAAAUGUUAAUUAUCUAGGAUUUGAUUUUUCUGGAGAUAUGAAAAAUGUCAUUACAAAGUUAGAGUGAAAUAAUCUUAUUCAAUUUGGUUCAAUUUAUGUUAUGUGGAAAGUGCAUGUGAUAUAGCCAUAGUGGUAUUGGUAUUAAAUAAAUUACUAUUUCUUUGUAUUUAUCAUGAUUCAUUUGCCCUUUUACUAUGCUCUUUUAUUCUUUCUUUGAGACUCUAUUUUAAUGUUAAAUAAUUAAAAUUAUAAAUAAUAUUUAUGUAUAUAUUAUUCAUAUUGAAUUAUUUGAAUUAUAAAAACUUUAUCUCUAUAGAAUUAUCAAUUACUAGAUAUGGUAUUUAAAUUGUUUAAAUUACAAACUUUAACUAAAAUUUAGACAUGAUUAAUUAAAUGUAUAAUUAUUUAAAUACAUUUAAUGGAGUAAUUUGCUGGAAAACAUCUUUUAAUAAUACAAUGUAUAACAAUAAAGUCGCUGUCGCGCAAAGUGCAGGCCUUCUACUAGUUAUUUCUAUAAUUUUAUAAAUGGUACUUAAUCAAAUUAACGAAACACUUUGUUAUAAUUAAAGAAAAUUAAUUAUUUUUUAAUCAUCAUAUAACAAUCUUAAACUACUUAUUUAUAGAUGGAGUAUAAAUCAUUAUGAUUCACAUUGGCCAACCAAUCCAAUUAUUAAUUACUAUAUAUGAUAUUUAAAUUGUUUAAAUUAUAAACUUUAACUAAAACUUAGACAUGAUUAAUUAAAUGUAUAAUUAUUUAAAUACAUUUAAUGGAGUAAUUUGCUAGAAAAUAUCUUUUAAUAGUAUACUAAAUAAAUUUAUAAAAUACAGUGUAUAACAAUAAAGCCGUUGUCGCGCAAAGUGCAGGCCUUCUACUAGUUAUUUCUAUAAUUUUAUAAAUGGUACUUAGUCAAAUUAAUGAAACAAUUUGUUAUAAUUAAAGAAAAUUAAUUAUUUUUUUAAUCAUCAUAUAACAAUCUUAAACGACUUAUUUAUAGAUGGAGUAUAAAUCAUUAUGAUUCACAUUCAACAAUUGAGGGUAGCGAUAAAAAUAGGUCCAUGAAAAUUUACUCUUUUCAUAUCCAAAUUCAUUUAAAAUUACAUUUGAAACACCGAUGGAUAGUUUAAUUGAGUGCCUAAACCAUUUUCAAAAAAACAUGUUAUAUGUUCAUAACAUGUUAUAUUAGCAAAUUAUAUAAUACAUUGAAAAAAAUCUUUUUCCUAUAAAACAGCCAUAAAAUUAAUUAUCAAAGUUAUAAAUGAUGCUCUAAAACAAUGAUUAUUAUACUAAUUAUUAUAAUAGCUAUCUAUCAAUAAUAUAUAUAAUAUAUAAUAUAAAUUUAAAAUGUAAUAAGCCAAGCAAAACUUAUCUUGACUGUGAAAAAAAAUUAUUAAUUUUUUAUUUUAUUCUUUGAUAAAAUGUUAUUUUUUCAGAAUAUUCUUAGAUUUUAGUAAUAUAAAUUAUUCACAAUAUUAUAAUUUAUAACAAAAUAGAAAAUUAUAUAUUCUAAUAUACAUAAAAAAAUUAAAUUAUGUCAUUGCAACAAAGACCAAGAACUAUUUGUGGCUAUUAACAAGUGUUUUGGUAGAAUUGUAAAAUGGAUUAUUACAUGUCCCUAUAACUGAAAAUUUUAUUAAUUUCCUUUUUAAAUGUUUAAUUCUAUUUUUUUGCUAAUAUAACCAAUAAUUACAGUAUUAUACCAUCUUUUGAUUAAAUGAACAAUUUUACAACUAAUUGUAGUUUGAUUGGUCUCCUCAUAUUAUUGUGACACUUGGGAAUUUAAUUAAAGAUGUGUUUUUGCUUAUUUAUGUGUUAUCCACAUUAUAGAUGUAUACAAUAAUGGUUUGAGUGAGAUAACAAUAACAGUUGAUUGUAACAAUGUAUUGAUUGUUGAAUAGUUUCUCCACUAAAGUUUUAUGAAUUGAAGUGUUCUGUGAUAUAUGGAAGGAAUCAUGUCGNNNNNNNNNNNNNNNNNNNNNNNNNNNNNNNNNNNNNNNNNNNNNNNNNNNNNNNNNNNNNNNNNNNNNNNNNNNNNNNNNNNNNNNNNNNNNNNNNNNNNNNNNNNNNNNNNNNNNNNNNNNNNUGUGAUUAAAGGGCUGGUUCUAAUUAAGGUGGCCCCAAGAUGAUGGUUAUUGAGCUUAAUGGAUAAGAGCCAGUUAGGAUUUUAAUACCCUUCCUCUGCCUUAUAAAAGAUAAAGGAAUCAACAGAUUAAGGUUAACACAGAAAUAAGAGAGUGUGAUGGCUCCCUUAAACGCAUACGGAGAUAGUUUGUUUGAGAGAGCUCAUAAAAGAACCUCCCGCAGCUGUUGAUUAUUCUCUGACCAUUAAGAGAGCACUUACGGACAAAAGGCCAGAGUGAAGAAACGUAGAUCUGCUGUUACGGUGAGAAUCAAAUUGACCCAACGAGUUAACCCAUAAUAUAGAUCUACCGUUAUGGAUCAAGGUACGCUUCCGAUUAUUGUAUAUUCUUGUCAAAUAAAUUCUAUAAACAAUAGAUCUGGACUAUAUUAAAGUUUAUUCAACAUAAGGAUCUUGCCUCCAUAGUUGCACAUAAAAUUAGCUUUGUAAUUUUGAGGUUGUUGAGAUCUAUCCUUCCAUGGUGUUGGGUUCUCCAAUGUGAGUUCCCGAAAUCAAUGAGAGUUGGGCUUUUCAGGGGGUAGAUGAUGUGGGCAUUUUAUGCACACAUUUUUUGGCCCAUAGUUCCUAUAGUAUAGCAUCUAAAUGAUACCUCAUUUUGCCAAGUACACCACAUUUUAUAAUCCUUGUCAUGUUUCUUCAGAAUAGGUGAAAAUAUAGAGUGCUUACAGAUGAAAAAGGACCGAAACGAGUAAAUCCCAAAUGCCAGGAACUAAGCUGCAGAUUAACAGAAGCACCCAAAAACACCCAGUAGCUAUCCCUCAAGAUACGUCACAAAAGACUGUCAUUCAAAUGAGAAAGCGAAGCCCAUGCAUCAAGAAUACAGUAAUAAAAUUUUCACACAUAUAUUAUUGUUUUGAUUAAAUAUUGUUACGGGAACACUAUUUCCUUAAAUACUUUUCCUUUAAACACCAUCUUGGGAAAAAAAAUUCAAAAACUUUAUCUAAUUUUAAAGGAAAAUUGAAAAUUUUUUUUAGAGCUUGGGGCCAUGGCUGCCUUUCAUUUCCUUCUCUCUGAUCCUGUCUGUCUUUAGAACUUUAAAUCACUCAAAGCUUCAAACUACAAAUAAUUUUGAUUCUACUUUGAACCCCAAAACGAGAAAAAUAAUGUUUAAUGAAUAAGUAUUAUAAUUGAAAUGUCUUAGAAAAUGUUUCUAACCACAAAUAUUUGAAAACAUAUAUAGAGCAUUAAUUGCUAAUUAACAAUUGUUAAAAGCUGAAAACAAAAAAAAUAUAUCAGCCAAUCCUUGAGCCAAACACACCCCUAGUUGAACUACUUGUAUCAAAAUCAGUUGAUGAAGUUGAGCCUAGCUGAGGUCCGUCGGCAAUAUCAACACAUUGGGCAGGGAAAAAAGAUACAUCAGGAUGGACUAUUUCACCAUCAGGACUGAUUCCCAUAUUCUCAGCUUCUGCAUCCUCUUGCAGCUUCAGUGCAAACUCAAGUUCUUCCAUAACAUCUCUUAUAUUGGGCCGUUCAAUGCCUUUGCUAUGAAUGCAACUGAAUGCGAUCUCCACAAAUUUUUUGAAACACCGUGGAGCUAUCUUCCCCUUCAAAUAAGGAUCAAUUAUUUGAUAAAUGUUUCCAUUUUGAAUGCAUUUUUCAGCCCAGAUGGCUAAGCUCAUAUGUUCUUCCACCAAAUUUCGAUCAAGCGGCUUCAGAGCACACAAGACUUCCAAUAAUACUAGACCAAAUGAGUACACAUCAGAUUUUUCUGUUAAUAUUUGGUAUCUUGCAUAUUCUGGAUCUAAAUAACCCCAAGUUCCCUUCACUAUAGUAGUACUGACCUCCUGUUUGAAAGCUGCUUUGGAUAAUCCGAAAUCUGAAACUUUUGCAAUCCAGUUUUCGUCUAGCAAAAUAUUAGUUGUCUUCACGUCUCGAUGGAUAAUGGUAUGCGUGAACUCGGAAUGAAGAUAAUGCAAUCCGCGUGCUGCACCUAUGCAUAUGUGAAGCCUUUUUUUCCACGGAAGAGGAUCAUUGUUUGUUUCAUGUAAAUGUUCUCCAAGUGUGCCGUUGAUAAGGUAAUCAUAGAUGAGAAUCAUUUCACCUUCAUCAAUGCAAUAUCCGAUCAAAGAUACAAGAUUGACAUGGCGGACUUGUGACAACAUCUCUAUUUCUGUCGUGAAUUCGCGAGUCCCUUGCUUUGAUGUGAAUCUAGCCGUUUGAUAGCGACUGUGAUGGAUUCAUUAUCUAUGUAUCCUUUAUAUACAUUACCAAAUCCUCCAGAACCUAUAAAGUUUUGAUCGUCAAAAUUUCUGGUAGCUUCUUUGAUUUCGAGAAUCGUAAAUCUACGGCAACGCUCUGUUGGCAGUGGUGAAGCAAUUGUCGUGGACUUAUUAGAUUUGUACGAAAAUGGGGCCCGACAAGAAAUGUGGUCGAUCGUAGCAGAGUCCUUAGCUUUCCUUCUUCUUUGAUAGGCUAAGAGACAUAGAAUUAAAGAGAAUAUGCCACCAAAGACAGCUACAUUAAUGAUCAAAACCUGUGAUGCUAGUCUGCUCCUUCGUUUUUGUUUUAAACUUGGAUGUUGAUCUGGUUCUGGAGGAACUCGAAUUGGUUCAGGGUUGGGUCCUGCUAGACUACCUUCUGAAUUGUUCAACUUGAAUAUUUCCAAACCAUUCAAGAUCGCGUCAGCAAACUCAGUCUCAUUAGAUGGGUGUAAAGCGAGCCACAAGUCCUGCUUUCUAGGGACUCCAGCUGGAACCCAUACAACGUAGUCUUUGUACACUGGAAAACCGUUACCACCGCUCCAGAGGAUCACAUCUGCUUGAGCUACCACUGUUUGAUUAUUGAUGAAUAUGGAGAAUAUCAGUUGAAACUCACCGGUAACCUCUAGUCGAGUCUCACAAAAGUGGAGACGAACAAGAUAGUUGAAUCCAGUAUCAACGGGGAAUAACCAAGUGAGAUUGUAGUUAAUGUUAACAUUUGCAUUAGGACCCAUUGAACGCAUACUACUAUAUACCAAUUCAGGAGCAACCCAAGCCGGAGUACUCUUUGUAUAAUUUAUCUUAACCUUAGAAAUAGACGUCACUCCAAAUGCAGCUCCAAAAAUGUAAUUAGAGUCUUCAACCCAUUUCCUGUACAUUCCGGUGUCACCUGAACCGUCAAUAUCCCGUCCCCCAACAUUUAACCGAUAAACAGUCUCAAGAGCGGUUGUAUCAUCCAAAUAGAAGGGAUAGUCAAUGCCAACAUUUGUCAGCAGGCUAUCAUUUCCGUGUAUAUAGAGACUGUCUGGCAUGGAAACGAUUUCAAUACCAUUUAUGAAGGCAAAAGAUUUCAGAGAUGGAUUAAAAGUUAUGUUAAGCAUCUGUUUUUCCUGAAUAGUAACGACAAACUCUUUCACAAUGGCAGCAGCUGGAGGCUGCAUGGCUGAAACCGUAAGAAAAGCGCUAAAGUUGCUUAGAAGUGUGUAGUCAUUGGCUUCAACGGAGAAGAAGGAUUUGGAGAUAUCAAGAUUGGAGUAAGCAACAGGAUAGAAGUAGAGACGAACAAAUUUUGAGCCAGGUGAGACAGGAAAGCUGUAGGUGAAUUUGGAUAGAAAAAUACGAGCUGUCAUGUAAGGGACUUGGGUCACAGAUGUAUCUUGCCCGGAGGCUUUGAAAGCAAAUGAUGAGUUCAGAGAGAUAGAGGCACCGAAUUUGGAUCGGGCAUCGCUAACCCAAUUUCGGCCGUCGGGUGAUGUUGUGAGAGAGGACGCACCACAGCUGAGAAGGAUAAUUUCUGUUGGAGUAUAUGGCGGCAAGCUGUGAACGGCGGUGAUGUAAGGGAGAAGGAUUAUGAAGAGAGAUGCAAGAGAAAUUAAUUUUGUCAAGAUAAGAGAGAUAGAGAACAAAGAAAAAAGUGAGGCAAUUAUGAAGCCCAUGGAUAGUGUGAAAUUUAAUAUCUUUUAGAUCCAACUAUUUGUUUAUGGCGAUCGGCAACGAUAGGAAUAAAGGAAAGAAGUUUACAACAACUUUCCAUUAAAAAAAAAUGGAAAUUAAAUUUUCCAAUGGAAAUUUCAUGUAAACUUCUUGUUUUGAAGAACUGUUAAUUGUUAACUUAAGAAGCAUUUUUGGGAGUAAACAAAGACUUGAACAAGUCUUCAAUAUUGACAAGUUUUGGCACUAUCAUUUAAUCAAGGGGUACGUGCUCAGAAAGUAAGGGGCUGACCGUAAGGUCUUAUUGUGGUUGGACAAAAUAUGUAACAUCUACAAAGCGGGUCGGGCAAGAAGACUUCUAGUAUGUAGAAAGUCAUCCAUAGGACUUUAAAAAGACCUUGUUGAUUACAAAUUAAAUAAAGAACUGCGGAACACCUGGUGAAUAGAAUAGCUAUAACGACAAUGACAACAAAAUAGUAUAAUUAUACCCUUCACAAACAGAGCAAUGCAGAUCUUAAGAAGUUGGAUUAAUUAUAUCAUUGGAGAGAUCCAUAUCAAACUAUUAAUUAUAUUAAUGAAACCUAGAUAGUUCAUUAUUCAGAAAUAGCAUAAUUACAUAGAAAUGCUUAAAUUUUUAGAAAAUAUUCAAACUAGCAGAAUAGAGCAGCGGUAAUGAUCUUAGUCUCCAUAUUUAUCCAAUUGCAAUUCUUUCAAACAACUAAAAACCCAGUAACCGGGAAACAACAUUUUUAAGAAACAAAAAAGCGAGCAGGUCUUGUUGUCUAUAAUAGCACAUUGUCGAGUAUAAACAAAUUUUGUCCAUUCUUAUUGUAACUACAAAUUGGAAAAAGAUCAUCAGCAUUCUUAUAGUAACUAAAACCAUGCAAAAUUUGAUAGACUGUAAUAAGCAUACCAGAGGCUUAAAUCCAUUGGACUUAACUACAAUUUUCAUCUUCCCAUUGGAUUCAUAAUUUCCGAAAAUACAGACUUAGACUUAAAUCCAUCAGGAUCAAGUUUAGCAGCACUCCCUUCACCACUGCUAACUGUGCUCUUGGAGUCCUCCUUUUGUUCGCCUGAAACGCUAAAUAUAUCAUCAUCAUCAGUAGUUACAACAGCUUCCCCACGCAACAACAAUGGACUUUCCUGCUCUUCACCCACACUCUCAACACUACUAUUUCUACUCUUCUCUGCCGUCUCUUGAAGCUGCAAUGCUAACUCCAGCUCACAUAUCACGCCGCUCAUUGCCGGUCUUUGUGCUCCAUUGUCACGCAAACAGCUCUCCGCAAUCUCUCCAAAUUUCUCCAAACAGGCAGGAUCAGCAUCACCUCUCAAGUGCGGGUCCAUUAUUCGAUCGAGUGCACCUCUUCUAUAGCAGAUUCUAGCCCAAUCAGCUAAAUUCGCUUGCUCUUUGGGUAAUCCUGGAAUUACAGGUGGCCUAGCACAUAAUACCUCCAAUAGAACAACUCCGAAUGAGUACACGUCAGAUUUUUCAGUGAGGUGUUGCCUACGAUAAUACUCUGGAUCUACAUAUCCAACACUACCCCUGACAACAGUGCUGACUUGCGUUUGGGACUGGCUAGUGGGACCCAUUCUUGACAAGUCAAAGUCAGAAACUUUAGCCACCCAGUUCUUCAUCUAUCAGUAUGUUCGUUGACUUGACGUCGCGGUGAAUGAUCGGGUGUUUCGCACCUGUAUGGAGAUGAUGCAGUCCAUGUGCAGCUCCGAUGCAGAUCUGUAGUCUUUGCUUCCAUGGAAGAGGAGGGUUUUUGGUUUUGUAGAGAUUAUCACGGAGAGUGCCGCGGUGCAUGAACUCGUAUACUAGAAUCAUCUCGCCUGGAUCAUCACAGUAUCCUAUUAGAGACACGAGAUGCGUGUGACGGAGCUUGGAAAGCAUCUGGAUUUCUGUUUUGAACUCGCGAGCUCCCUGUUUUGAUGAUGAAUGUAAUCGCUUGAUUGCGACAGUAAAGGCGCCAUCAUCGAUGGAUCCUUUGUAGACAUUNNNNNNNNNNNNNNNNNNNNNNNNNNNNNNNNNNNNNNNNNGGACAUCAAAAUUUAUGAGUGCUAUCCAUCGAUUAUUUUGAGCAAUAAUUCACUACUGACAACAGAAAUUAGUUCACUCGAGCUCUCUGUAGAUUGGUGCAGUAAAAUUAGAAAUUUAAGAUUUGAAAAUAUGUAAGUGUUUAAGGUUUUUUAAAUUAUGAACAAUUCCUUAAAAUUCAAUGGCUUAUUGUAUUCUUUAAAUCUUUUUCUUAGUUCAAAAUUUUUUUUCUUAUAGUUUUAAAUGAAUUUUUACUUGAUUUAAUUAAAAUUUUGAAGUGAUAUAAGAAUAAAUAUUAUGAAAUAAUUGGCUGAAAAAAAGUUAAAUAUUUGAUGUUCAUGCCAAUCGCAUAUGGAUAUUUACAUUAUUAUUCAAUUUAUCUCCUUGUAGAUUUAGUUUGAAGCAUAUAUAUUAAAGAUAAGAGAGGUUAUUUUCAUAUUAAAAGGAUAUAGAAAUACUUUCAAUAUGAAAAAACAUCUUAAUAUAUAUAUAUAUAUAUAUAUAUAUAUAUAUAUAUAUAUAUAUAUAUAUUUAUAUAUUNNNNNNNNNNNNNNNNNNNNNNNNNNNNNNNNNNNNNNNNNNNNNNNNNNNNNNNNNNNNNNNNNNNNNNNNNNNNNNNNNNNNNNNGGAAAAUUUUUAAUGGCCGGUCUAUUCUUGUACCAAUAAUGCAGAAGAAAAUGCCAUAGACUUGAAUGAGUCGGAGUGGAAAAAAAUGUGACAAGCAAUUUUCAUGAAGUCGCAUUCUUAGGCCCCCUGCUUUAGACCAAAGUUAGUGUUUAAUCACUCAUUAAUAUUAUAAAAAGUCAUUCAUUCAAAUACGGAGAAGGCAAGAGAAAAUGACGAACUCUCAUAAAAAAAAUUUUAUAAUAUAAUUUACGAAUCAAUCCACACUAAAAUCUUAUAGUAUUCGAUAAUAUAAUGUCUGAACUAGCUUUUAGAGGUUAAAGUAGCAUUUUGUGAAAAAUUAACUUAUGUAACGUUUGACUUUUAACAUUUCAUAAAAAUCUAUUCGAACAACUAAAAGUGAAAUAAGCUAAUUAGCUGAAUUUGAGAAAAAAAAAAACAGUGAAUGUAAUUAUCAAAAUUAUUCAAUCAAUCUCCAUAAAAUGUUAAGUAUUAGAGUAUUUAACGUUUUAUAAAAAGUGCUUAGUUAAUCUUUAAAAGCAACUGUAAAAGCUAUAUUACCCAAUGGCAGACUUAAUAGAGAUGAAAUUUUAAUUUAACUAAAACACUAAACAUUUAGGACUUUGAAUGUUGUUUGAAUUUAAUUUCCAUAUUUUCCAACUACUUAUAAAGGUUUAGGGGGGAUAGGAAAUUUGAAUUUUUGAGUAGAUUUUAAUUUUAUUUUGAAGAAAUAAUUAUUAAAAAUUAUUUUGAAUUAAAUUUAAGAAGUAGAAAGAAAGGGGAAAAAAGAAAGGAUAAAAAAUUUUGGUACAACUAUAUAUGUCUGGCAAAGCGCAUGUGAAUGUCAAAUGCACGAGGGAGAGCGACAGACCAAAAAUAGUGCCAACAUAGACUUCUUCUUCCUCUUCAUUUCUAAUAAAAUAAAAUCACUCUCUGUCAUUUGAUCAAACACAAGAUAAGCCAUGGAUGGAGAGAUGCUCAAAACGAAAUGGGUUGUCAUCGUUGCAAUUUAGAGCUGUGCAUCGUACACCUUCAACAUCUAAUUUUCCAUUCUCCAACCCAAUUAAGGCUUGCAACAAUAAAUAAACAUCACUCUUUCUGGUUAAAAUUCUUGAUUGGAAGUAUUCAAAAUCUAUAUAUCCAAGUGUGCUUUGAACGGGAACAAAUAUGAAGUAGAUACAGUUUUAAGUGCCCACCAAAAUGUUUGUGAAAAUUACUCAAUGAAUAAAAAUUUUUUUCUUUUAUUAUAUAUUACAUCAGUUGAAGCCUGUGCAUCAAAAUUAUCCCACUUGUCAUCUUUUUUUUCCAUCUCAUUGGGUGUGUGAGAUUCACGCUUUAUUUGGCCAUCAACGAGGUGCACAUUUAUUACUAAAAAUUGUAACUUUAAAGGUAGCAGUAUCUUCAAACUUAAAAGUGUCACAAAGUAACAUGUAAAUUUCCCAGGCAGAUUUACACGUUCCAUCAUUUGCCAGCUGUAAUCCUCUAUCCUUCCAUCUACCGUUGAAAACAAAUGACAUCUACUGCCGUGGUUAAUGAUGGAAUGAUGAUAAAUAAGGGUACUAUAGUCUUUUUAAAUAGUAAAAGAAGGGCCGAAAAGAGAAAGAGCACAAAAUCAUUGUUCCCGUGAUUUAGUGUAUAUAAAAAUCUUUGGCUCGCUGAGUCUUUUUCGGUUUUUCCGUAUGUUCCAACAAAAAGAUUUGAAAAUUAUAUAUCAAAAACUUGUGUUUAAGUCCACUUGUAAGCCUUCUUGGCUGUCAUUGUAGUGGAAAAAUAGACCUUACAAGUUGCAAACAAUGCAUAAAGAUAUUGCAGAUGCUUCUGAUCAUGUCAUCCGGAAGCACUGAAAAAUGAGCUCUACAUGUCCCUAUGUAACUUCCUUCCACUUUCUAUAAGUUCAUUGGAAAAGUCUGGACGGGCUCAUGUGUACGUUGAUAGUGAUUUUCGUAAAUAUACGAAAUCACAAUAAAUAAUAAAAAGUGAGUAGAGUAUCAUUUCCGCGAGGAUUGUAUACCAAGUACUAAAAUUAUAUUAACCUAUUAUUAUUUAAACGGCAAUAAGAGAAAUUAUUUUAAGAAAUUAACUUUAACAAAUAAAAGAGAAUGAAAAGAAAUAAAGCAAGGCAAUUUUGAGUAAAACAAAACAAGGAUUAAAAGCUACUAGGGAUUUUGAUUCACUUAAUUCUAUCCAAUUUAUUUUAUUAGUUUGAUAAUCAAUUUUAAUUGUUCAAGUAGGGAAAACAACCCUAAAAUCACUAACAAGCUCUCCCGAUUUAUUUUUAGCUAUUUUAACCCGGUCUAAUUACCUAUCUUCCAAUAGUGCAAUCAAACAUGAAUUAAAUCAUUAAGUUUUAUGGUUUGUUUAUGAAUUCAUAACCUAAGGUCAUUAACUUAUGAAAACUCCCCAUAAGUCAAACCAUAUAGCUUCCGCAUCAAGUUAUUAUUCUCAUGUGUGAUUAAUGAAAUAAAUCAAUCCAGUGGAGAAACUCUGCCUGGAAGCAUUAAGUUCAAUAAUAAAUUAUACUUUGAACAAAGAAAAGCAAAUUUAAUAUUAUAAAUUGUAAAAGAAAUUAAGCUACAUCAAAUCCCUAGUAUGAGAAUUUAGUUCGACAUAGUAAUUAAAUAAAACUCAAUUAAACUUGAGAAUAAUUCCAUAUUCAAUAUGAAUGAUGAAAAGUAAAAACAAGAUUAAGAGUUUAGAGAUAAAAACUAGUUAACAAAUAAUUCUGGACGGCUUCCUUGAAUCUUCACGCAAAUCUUGAGCAAUUGAAGUCUCGGAGAGAGAGAGAAAAACAAUAGAAAAAAGAUGGAAUAUACAAUGAAUGGAUUCCUAUGGCUAGUCUCUCUAUUUAUGUAGACUUUCUGGAAUAUCUUCGUUUUCGUUUAGGAAAGUGAAUUUUUAUUGAGGAAGAUAUCUUUUGGAGAUAGGAAACUGUUUAGACUUUGUAUUUUUUUCCAAUUAGGACUCUUCCAGCGCCUAGAUAAGAGUUAAGCUGGUUUCCUAUAAAAAUCCUACAAAAUUCCUCAAGAUCAAGUGAAAUAUGAUUAAAAGAAGCUUUACACAAAAAUAUAAAUAAAAAUAUAUAAAAACUAAUUAAAGUAAUUAAAAAUACUAAAAAUCCUAAUAAAAAUUAUAUUAAAAAUACUAUAAAAAUAACACAUAUCAUACACUUACCACUAAAUUAUACUUUUGCUUAUCUACUUAUUUUCUUGUUGAUACUAAUUGAAUGAGGAAUUGUUAAUGACAAUGAUAAUGACAAUAAAAUAUUAUUUUGAGCAAUAAAUAAUUCAAUAAUAAUCUAAACAAAUAACCAAUCAAGUGAUGAUCUGGUUAUUUUUUUAUUUACGUGAAAAAUGGAAGGUUUUAAGUUCGAGUCCUCUCGAUCAUAGUUUUAUAAAUAGUAAUUAUUCUGUAUUGAAGUUUAAUCCAAAAUUAAUGUAUAAUUUUUUUAAAAAAAGAUAAAAAAUAUAAAUAAUUUGAACUUUAUGAAUUGAUUUACACCAAUGUAUGUAUAUGUGUUAAACAAAUACAGAAAAAAGAGAGUUGAAUUAACUUAAAAUUAUUCUAGUGGAAGCACUGUCUGCAACCAUGGUCAUGUCUAAAAAUAAGAGCAUGAUGUUACUUUUGCCGCAUGUAUUCACUAUUGAGAGAGAUGAACUGGUUAGAAGAAAACAAAAUUCAACAGAAAAAUUCAACAGAAAAUUCAUUUAGUUAAUAAAAAUUAUUUUGCUAUUUUUUAUUCUUAACUCGUUAAGAUAUUAAUAAAAAUUUAUUUAAUGAAUGAGUAUAAAAAAAUAAUUAUUUAAAUAUAUAAAUUUAGAAAUCUUACAAACAUUUUAAAACAUUCAAAAAAGUAAUAACAAUCUAUUUUAGAAAUUCAAUGGUGAGUGUACGCAUCAAUUCUUAUACCAAUAAUGCAGAAGUAAAUGCCAUAGACGUGAAAGACUUGCAGUGGACAAGCAAUUUUCAUGAAUUCGCAUUCAUGGGUCUCCUGCGGUAGACCAAAUGAGUGGUGUCGUUGAUUAUAUAUAUGCUUACCUUUGUUUUUAUUUACCCAAUUGCAUAUACUUCUAAACUCAUUUAAACCACUGAAUCAGAAUAGUUCAAAUUGGCAACGAACCAAUCAUCAAUUGUAUGGUAAGCAACUUUUCGGGAAAAAUUUCCAGAGAAAAUUAUUGGUUAUUAAUUAGUACUCAUACUAUUUACAAAUUUUAAAUUUUUACACUGUGAUUAAGUAAACAAUAAAUUUUCUUAAAUUAUAGCAAAAAGUUUAUUAAUACGAUUAAGUUAUUGCAUAUAUCUAUAUAUAUAUAUAUGUGUGUGUGUUAUAUAUAUGUAUAAGGGUAAAAUUAAAAGAAUUUCAUUAAUUACUCGAAAAUACUCAUUUUGUCCCAAAAUAUAAGUCGUUUAGGAUUUUUGCACAAGGAUUAAGGAAUCAAUUAAUUCUCCUAAAAUUAUAACAAAACUAAGAGUAAUUUGACCAAAUUAUCAUUUAUCUCAAAACCGAUAGUUAUGUAGUUAUUAUAUAAGGAUAACAUUGAAAAAAUAUCAUUUAUUACCUUUUAAAAUACUUAAAAUGAGUUAUAUUUUGCGACAAAAUAAUUACUAAAAAACGACUUAUAUUUUAGGACAUAAAGGUAUUCUCAAAAAUAACUUAUAUAUAUAGGCGUAAAAAUUACUCUAAAAAGACUUAGGUAAUUACUUGGAUCUCUGAUUUUGCUAAAUACAUUAUUUCAUCCUUGUACUUUAGGGGUGGAGACAGUAUUAUAAGUGAUUGUGCUCCCAUAAAAAAUAUUUUGAAACUUUUUGAUGCACUAGGAGGUUCAAUGAGUAGACUGUAGGCUACAUAAUAAAAAUAUUUUAAACUUUUAGUGUAAUCAUUUUUUAAGAAUCAUAACUUAGUUUAUCCCACAAGUAAAAUUAUUUUUUGGUCUUCUGUUUAAUUAUUUCGGUGAUUCUCUUUUUUCUGUAUUGUACACCUUUAAAUUAAUAAUUUCUUUCAUCCAAAAAUCAAUUUUUUGUGUUUAACUACAGCAUUUGGAUGUAAGUGGGCAAUCUUCUAGUUCGGGUUUUAGCAUAUUGAAUUUGCUAAAAUUUUCCAGCAUUUAAAAACAAAUUAAUAAAAUAUUUUACUUUGCUGAUUAAAAAAAAUCUAAUUACCGGUUGAUAAACUUCUUAAGUCUCUUUAACUACUUUUAUUCGUUACCUUCUAACCCAAAAAUGACAAGAAAAAGUCCCAAAAAAUUGGAAAUAUCAGUUCCAAAAAUUUUACGCGUCAAUUUGGAGUAAGGAACCCACAACUGUUUCAUCACUAAAAGUGAUGUGAUUAGUUUUUCUGAUGCAGAAGGGUCUUGUUAGUUUUACUCCGCGAUGAAUAGCUCUUAUGACAGUUAAAGUAAGGAUCUUGUCUCCAUAGUUGCACAUAAAAUUAGCUUUGUAAUUUUGAGGUUGUUGAGAUCUAUCCUUCCAUGGUGUUGGGUUCUCCAAUGUGAUUUCCCGAAAUCAAUGAGAGUUGGGCUUUCCAGGGGGUAGAUGAUGUGGGCAUUUUAUGCACACAUUUUUUGGCCCAUAGUUCCUAUGGUACAGCAUCUAAAUGAUACAUCAUUUUGCCAAGUGGACCACAUUUUAUAAUCCUUGUCAUGUUUCUUUUGAAUAGGUGAAAAUAUAGAGUGCUUACAGCUGAAAAAGGACCAAAACGAGUAAAUCCAAGAAGCCAGGAACUAAGCUGCAGGUUAACAGAGGCACCCAAAAACAGCCAGUAGCUAUCCCUCAAGAUACGUCCCAAAAGGCUGUCAUUCAAAUGAGAAAGCUAAGCCCAUGCAUCAAGAAUACAGUAAUAAAAUUUCACACAUAUUAUUUUUUUGAUUAAAUAUUGUUACGGGAACAUUAUUUCCUUAAAUACUUAUCCUUUAAACACCAUCUUGGGAAAAAAAUUCAAAAACUUUAUCUAAUUUUAAAGGAAAAUUGAAAAUUUUUUUUAGAGCUUGGGGCCAUGGCUGCCUUUCAUUUCCUUCUCUCUGAUCCUGUCUGUCUUUAGAACUUUAAAUCACUCAAAGCUUCAAACUACAAAUAAUUUUGAUUCUACUUUUAACCCCAAAACAAGAAAAAUAAUGUUUAAUGAAUAAGUAUUAUAAUUGAAAUGUCUUAGAAAAUGUUUCUAACCACAAAUAUUUGAAAACAUACAUAGAGCAUUAAUUGCUAAUUAACAAUUGUUAAAAGCUGAAAACAAAAAAAAUAUAUCAGCCAAUCCUUGAGCCAAACACACCCGUAGUUGAACUACUUGUAUCAGAAUCAGUUGAUGAAGUUGAGUCUAGCUGAGGUCCGUCGGCAAUAUCAACACAUUGGGCAGGGAAAAAAGAUACAUAAGGAUGGACGAUUUCACCAUCAGGACUGAUUCCCAUAUUCUCAGCUUCCGCAUCGUCUUGCAGCUUCAGUGCAAACUCAAGUUCUUCCAUAACAUCUCUCAUAUUGGGCCGUUCAAUGCCUUUGCUAUGAACGCAACUGAAUGCGAUCUCCACAAAUUUUUUGAAACACCGUGGAGCUAUCUUCCCCUUCAAAUAAGGAUCAAUUAUUUGAUAAAUGUUUCCAUUUUGAAUGCAUUUUUCAGCCCAGAUGGCUAAGUUCAUAUGUUCUUCCACCAAAUUUCGAUCAAGCGGCUUCAGAGCACACAAGACUUCAAAUAAUACUACACCAAAUGAGUACACAUCAGAUUUUUCUGUUAAUAUUUGGUAUCUUGCAUAUUCUGGAUCUAAAUAACCCCAAGUUCCCUUCACUAUAGUAGUACUGACCUCCUGUUUGAAAGCUGCUUUGGAUAAUCCGAAAUCUGAAACUUUUGCAAUCCAGUUUUCGUCUAGCAAAAUAUUAGUUGUCUUCACGUCUCGAUGGAUAAUGGUAUGCGUGAACUCGGAAUGAAGAUAAUGCAAUCCGCGUGCUGCACCUAUGCAUAUGUGAAGCCUUUUUUUCCACGGAAGAGGAUCAUUGUUUGUUUCAUGUAAAUGUUCUCCAAGUGUGCCGUUGAUAAGGUAAUCAUAGAUGAGAAUCAUUUCACCUUCAUCAGGACUUGUUAGAUUUGUCGUCGAAUUUGGAUGUGGCUACUUCAAUUUCGAAAAUUGAGAACCGACGGAAUUGAUUAAAAGGAUUUAGAAAAGAUUUUCUGGUCGUGGAUCUUGAAGUGUGAGGAAAAGGGGCUCGAAAGGAAUUGUGCUUGGUAUUAACUUUCCUCUCCUCCUCUGAUUAAAAACAAAGAAACAAAGAAUAAAAGCAAGCAAUAAGACACCACCAAAUACUAGUCCAAUUAAAAUUGUUACUUUCUUUACGUGUUUGCUUUUUGUUCUUUCUAAUAGUUUUGGUUGCCGGACUGGUGGUGUCUGAACUAGUAUUGGUUCAGAGUUUGGCCCUGCUAAACUACCCUUUGAUUUAUUCAACUUGAAUAUCUCCAAACCGUUCAAGGUCGCGUCAGCUAACUCAAACUCAUCAGAUGGGUGUAAAGCGAGCCACAAGUCCUGCUUGCCGGGGCCUGCUGCUGGAAUCCAUAUGACGUGGUCUUUGUACACUGGAACACCUCUACCACCGCUCCAGUAUAUUACAUCUGCUUGAGCUACCGCUGUUUGAUUAUUGAUGAAUAUCGAGAAUACCAGUUGAAGCGCACCGGUAACCUCUAGUCGAGUCUCACAAAAGUGGAGACGAACAAGAUAGUUGAAUCCAGUAUCAACGGGGAAUAUCCAAGUGAGAUUGUAUUUAAUGUUGACUUUUCGUUGAGAACCCAUUGAACGCAUAGUACUAUAUACCAAUUCAGGAGCAACCCAAGCCGGAGUAAUCUUUGUAUAAUUUAUCUUAACCUUAGAAAUAGACGUCACUCCAAAUGCAGCACCAAAAAUAUAAUUAGAGUCUUGAACCCAUUUCCUGUACAUUCCGGUGUCACCUGAACUGUCAAUAUCCCGUCCUCCAACAUUUAACCGAUAAACAGUCUCAAGAGCUGUUUUAUUAUCCAAAUAGAAGGGAUAGUCAAUGCCAACAUUUACCAGCGGGCUAUCAUUUCCGUGUAUAUAAAGACCCUCUGGCAUUGAGAUGAUUUCAAUACCGUUUAUGAAGGCAAAAGAUUUCAGAGAUGGAUUAAAAGUUACGUUAAGCAUCUGUUUUUCCUGAAUAGUAACGACAAACUCUUUCACAAUGGCAGCAGCUGGAGGCUGCAUGGCUGAAACCGUAAGAAAAGCGCUAAAGUUGCUUAGAAGUGUGUAGUCAUUGGCUUCAACGGAGAAGAAGGAUUUGGAGAUAUCAAGAUUGGAGUAAGCAACAGGAUAGAAGUAGAGACGAACAAAUUUUGAGCCAAGUGAGACAGGAAAGCUGUAGGUGAAUUUGGAUAGAAAAAUACGAGCUGUCAUGUAAGGGACUUGGGUCACAGAUGUAUCUUGUCGGGAGGCUUUGAAAGCAAAUGAUGAGUUCUGAGAGGUAGAGGCACCGAAUUUGGAUC
rnacentral:lncRNA from 1 species